rnacentral:rRNA from 1 species
CAGCAGCCACGGUAACACCGAGGGUGCAAGCGUUAAUCGGAAUUACUGGGCGUAAAGCGCGCGUAGGUGGUUCGCCAAGUUGGAUGUGAAAUCCCCGGGCUCAACCUGGGAACUGCAUCCAAAACUGGCAAGCUAGAGUAUGGUAGAGGGUGGUGGAAUUUCCUGUGUAGCGGUGAAAUGCGUAGAUAUAGGAAGGAACACCAGUGGCGAAGGCGACCACCUGGACUGAUACUGACACUGAGGUGCGAAAGCGUGGGGAGCAAACAGGAUUAGAUACCCCUGUAGUCCCUGUCUCUUAUAC